CCUACGGGUGGCAGCAGUGAGGAAUAUUGGUCAAUGGCCGGAAGGCUGAACCAGCCAUGCCGCGUGAACGAAGAAGUUAUUCGUAAUGUAAAGUUCUUUUAACAGGGAAGAAAGAGAAAUUUGACGGUACCUGAAGAAUAAGCUCCGGCUAACUACGUGCCAGCAGCCGCGGUAAUACGUAGGGAGCGAGCGUUAUCCGGAAUUAUUGGGCGUAAAGGGUGCGUAGAUGGCAUAGUAAGUCUUUUGUAAAAAUGCUGGGCUCAACCCAGUAGGGCAAAAGAUACUGCAAAGCUAGAGUAUGACAGAGGCAAGGGGAACUACAUGUGUAGGCGUAAAAUGCGUUAAUAUAUGUAAGAACACCAGUGGCGAAGGCGGCUUGCUGGGUCGAUACUGACAUUGAGGCACGAAAGCGUGGGGAGCAAACAGGAUUAGAUACCCGGGUAGUC
rnacentral:rRNA from 1 species